CGAGUGAACCGGGAAGAGCUCAAAUUUGAAAUCUGGCAGUCUUCGAUUGUCCGAGUUGUAAUCUAUAGAAGCGUUUUCCGUGCUGAACUGUGUAUAAGUCCCUUGGAACAGGGUAUCAAAGAGGGUGACAAUCCCGUACUUUACACAAUCAUCAGUGCUCUGUGAUACGUUCUCUACGAGUCGAGUUGUUUGGGAAUGCAGCUCAAAAUGGGUGGUAAAUUCCAUCUAAAGCUAAAUAUUGGCGAGAGACCGAUAGCGAACAAGUACCGUGAGGGAAAGAUGAAAAGCACUUUGGAAAGAGAGUUAAACAGUACGUGAAAUUGUUGAAAGGGAAACGAAAUUCAUGAAUCAUGUUUAUUGGACUCAGCCGUUCUUCGGUGUACUUCCUUUAAACGGGUCAACAUCAGUUUUGUCCGAUGGAUAAAGGUAGUAGGAAGGUGGCUCUCUCGGGAGUGUUAUAGCCUAUUGCUGCAUACAUUGGAUGAGACUGAGGACUGCAGCUUGCCUUUAUGGCCGGGGUUCGCCCACGUUCAAGCUUAGG
rnacentral:rRNA from 1 species